CGGGGUAUAGCUCAAGUGGUAGAGCGCAUGCCUAGCAUGCACAAGGUCCUGGGUUCAGUCCCCGGUACCGCCU
rnacentral:tRNA from 1 species